AUUGAACGCUGGCGGCAUGCUUUACACAUGCAAGUCGAACGGUAACAGGCCGCAAGGUGCUGACGAGUGGCGAACGGGUGAGUAAUGCAUCGGAACGUGCCCAGCCGUGGGGGAUAGCUACUCGAAAGAGAAGCUAAUACCGCAUACGAUCUAUGGAUGAAAGCGGGGGACCGUAAGGCCUCGCGCGAUUGGAGCGGCCGAUGUCAGAUUAGGUAGUUGGUGGGGUAAAGGCUCACCAAGCCAACGAUCUGUAGCUGGUCUGAGAGGACGACCAGCCACACUGGGACUGGGACACGGCCCAUACUCCUACGGGAGGCAGCAGUGGGGAAUUUUGGACAAUGGGCGCAAGCCUGAUCCAGCAAUGCCGCGUGCAGGAAGAAGGCCUUCGGGUUGUAAACUGCUUUUGUACGGAACGAAACGGCUCUGGUUAAUACCCGGGGCUAAUGACGGUACCGUAAGAAUAAGCACCGGCUAACUACGUG
rnacentral:rRNA from 1 species